GGCAGGCUAUUGUUCCGGACCGGAAGACUAGAGCAAAGGACAGAACUUGUUUACCGAAGAUGUACUUUCAUUGGCUAACCGCCUCGCGUUAACCGCUCUCAUUUGCAUAAAGUUCAGCUGAGCCCAACUUCUUGACGCGCCGCCUCUGUUCGAAUGGCCGCGCCGCCUUCCCAAGGUGCAUUGCGGAAGCGUAAACCACGCCUUGCCGCUCUACAUAGGAAAUCAAUGGGCUAUGUGCGUCGCGGUGGGCUUUGCCGCGAUAAUGGACAUGAGCCGUCAGAAGGUGCACACAGGCACAGUGCUGCAGGAGACGUUUGGGAGCACGCACCCCUGCUGGCCAGUUUGCACCUCAGAAAUGCACCUGGUGGUAUGUUGGGCUGGGUCUGCGAAAAUGUUCCCAGGGGAAACAAGGAGAAGAGGUAUGAAGAGUCUGUCUUGAUUACACAGAGACGGCGGUCUUAGCUGGCUAACGAUUCAAAAGCGCGGAGAAAAGGAUGCUGCCAAGUACAGUAGGAGUUGUUGGCCCUGUUUCAAAACUGAUUAUUUACAAGGAGGUUACAGAAUCCCUGUCUUUUUAGAGGAAUCUACAAAACAAUCCAUAAGAGCACUAUCCAUUGGCAUCCUUGAUAAAACAGUGUGUUCAUUUGAA